UAGAGCGAGGAAUUGAACAUAUAAAGGAUGAGCUAGUGCGCCCAACUAGCGGCACCAGCCACGUCUCCUUUUAUUCGCCAUCCUCUUCGCGUCGUCCGGCCUCCCCUGCUCCACGACCCUCUGCCUCAGGGCCUCCCGCGCCGCCGCCUUCUCUUCUGGGCCUCUUCUCUGGCGCUCGAUGCAGCCGGGGCGACCUCCUCCUCUUCUUCUCCUCCUUCCCUGCCUCCGGAUCCAGACCAGUGAAAUCUGGAGGGGAGACGAGUAAAGGGCGACUGAGGCGACGGUCGAGCAAAUGAGAGGAAGAGAGAAGGAAGAAGAGGCGACGCUCGAGCAGAUGAGAGGGAGAAAGAGGUAGGUGCAGCAAGGCGACAGACGGGAGAGGGCCGAGGGCGAGCUCCAGCGCGAGCGCGUGGACCUGUCACCCACGCCGGCGAGGUCCUCAGCCCCGAGCUGCGCCUCUACCACCGCGAAGGCGACUGCUGCGACCAUGCUCGUGCGCACACACACUGUGCCGUCUCCAAGUGCCAGUUGAAGUUACUGCUGGGCUUUAUUUCCCUCCUCUGAUUUGGUGUUGUGGGAGAAAGAAGAAGAGCAGGCAUGUUCUCUAUUUCUACAUCCAGCGUCCACACGGCUAGAUCGACAGGUCUAAACUCUUGAAUACAGAAAGAGUAAGCUACUAGCAUUCCUAAUGUGCAAGUAAACCUACUGGGAUUAUGACUGCAAAAAAAAUUCAUGACAUGUGAGCAAUUCUCAAUUUAGAUGCUGUGAGCUUAAAUAACAAGAACUAAACUGUUGUGCCAUGUUCAGAAUUGGUAAUAGAAAAGAUAAUCUAAACGCACAUCCUGAAAUUAUCUAGACUCCUGCCUUUGGGGAAUUAGGUUGCUAAGCAUUACUUUGUAAAUAAAUGACAUGCUAACUUGCUGGUUCAGUUUAAAGCUAUAGGCAGGGGCUUGCGGUAGGGGGGAUAUCAUUGUGGCAGUUGAAAACCAAAACACUUAUUCAUGAGUGUAUGAUCUGGACUGCGCUUUUCUGAAAGUAUGUUACGAUCCUGCUCUUGGGAGAUUAAGCUGUUGUGGUUUUGCUUCAUACAGGGCCGGCUUUGGACCAGUGCGAGAGGUGCGACGGCCCGGGGCCCAGACUAAAAGGGGGCCCAUAGUAUAUAUGCGGUAUAUAUAUUAUAUAUUACGGAUUAGUGGAAAAAAAGAAUGACUAACGUCCAGCCCAGGUAGCUCUGAGCCCACCCAGCAAGCAGCACGCAACCACCACUAGGGCCUGCCCAACCAAGCCCAGGCAACGCAUGUUGCCCUGUCGUUCGCCUGGAAUCCAGGGAGACGCACCGACACAGGAGCACGGAGACGCAUCGACACAGCAGCACGCCGCCUGACGCCGACACCAGCGCACCGCACCGAACCUGGAGCUGAGUUUGGGAUCAAAUCAGCAAGAAUUCGGGGACUUCAUAAAUAAUUGGCAUGCUAAAACAUUGGUUGUUGUUUCAGUGGUGGGGACCAAUAAUAGAAAGAAGUUGCUUCCUUAGAUGGUUGGUUAGGUCGUGGGUGCAGCAAGGAAAGGGACACCUGAUGACGGUUCUGGACUUGAGGUCUAACAAAAAGUAUUGUUCAGUGUAGUGUUUUUCUGGUUUCUUGAUCAGUGUGUUAGAGGCCAUGAAUUCUUUUCAUGCUUGCAAAUAUUUUUUUGAUUGUAUUUGAAAAGUAUACCCCGAUUGAGAGUCUAGGAGGGAUCUUGCUGAACAAAUAUACCUGACUUCAUGAAUGUCUGUACAGUUAGUCAGAGAUGAAAUGACAAGCAGCUCUCCUGCGUCGUUCGAGAAGAAAAGAAAACAAAAGACGAGGAUUAUAUAAUCCCACUUUAUGCUUACAGUUAGUCCGAGAUUCAAGUGAUUAUUUGUGCCGUGGUCGCUACAACAAAUCAUCUAAAAUAAGCUACUAGCGUUUUUUUAUCCAAGCUUUCUUGCUUAGAAUUAGAUAAUAUACGACUGCUUCAUACAUAUUACUCUUUCUGAGAGGGGCAUGAUCAUCAUGAAAUCAGCAAAUUAUAUACGCAUAUGUGCUUUACUAAAUAUUAUUCUCUCUGUAUACCUUCUUUAUUUUUAUUAGAGAAACGGUUGAGAUAGUACACUCAGACUAAUGCAUUGCAUGUCUUUUUGUGCUUAAACCAGAGGCAAAAGCACUUUAAAAUAUGUUCCGCUGCCUCUUCUCCUCUUCAUUGCUCUGCUUCUUCCCCUGAUUCCUCUUUUUCGUUUUUUCUCUUUGUGGCGCCGCCGAGGAUGAGUGGAGCAGUUGCUGAAGCAGGCGCGGCGCUGGUGCGCUGCUGGCGAAGCGGUGGUCAACAGUGCCGUCGACGUUGUCCUUGGCAGAAGUUAUCCCCAUUGGCUUGUGGAUAUGCUCUUGCUGGGUCGUUCUUGUUUAUUUUCUCUAUCCAACAUCAUUGCAGGUUGGUGUUUCCUCUCUUUCUCACUGCAGCUACCGCCUACCUAUGCCUCUAUUAUUCUAGGAUUUUGCAAGUUAAAUACUCAUGUGUGCUGAACUGAAAAGUUCUCUAUGUAACAUCUAUUGCAGGUUGGUGUUUCCUACCUAUGCCUCUAUUAUUCUAGGAUUUUGAAAGUUAAUUGCUCAUGUGUGCUGAAUUGAAAAGCUCAAUGAAAGGCACUUAUUUCUAUGCACAAAUGCUUUUGUUGCUAUAAGAAUCUGUAGAGAAGAAAUAUAUACGUCUCCUCUGUUCAUUGCCCUUUUUUUGCGGGUAGUUCAUUGCCAUUUUGGAUUCAUAUGUGAAGUCUAUUGUUGUUAAUUACAGUUAACUAAUUUAUUAAUUCAUGGUUGUUUUAGUUGCUGACCAUAUGAUUCGUAGCCUUGGACAGAAGAGGCCAGCAACAAACAGAAGCAACCACUGUCCUGUCCAGAACAUGUAUAUCUUCAGUUUUGGUUGCCUUCCGUUUACUUGCCAACAAGCGACACUGAGCUCGCAUAUUUACUGUUUGCUUCGUUAUAUACUUAAUCUACUAGACAAAGUGUAAAAUGGAAAUUCAUGCUCGACAAUUUUGUAUAUUUAUAAACCUAUAUGCUACUCUAAUUGGUUUUACUUCUUCUAUAUAUUUUCUCCUCUUGGCGUGUAUAAACAGUGCACAAAGUUAGUUUCUUUUCCUUCUCGAUCGCAUCUAAUUUUAAAGAAAAUAGAGAGGAAUCUAAGAGAUACACAACCAGAAGAACUUUGUUUCUUUGACUUUUCGGUCGUGUCUAACUUUUGGUAAAAGAGAGGAAUUUAAGAUAGAUAGACAACCUGAAGAGCUUUGAACAGCUUUGAACGUUCAAGUUUGCUGCCGGCCUCCUCGCCGCUGCUGUCGCGUGGCUGGCACCAGUGUGUGGCAGCUGCUGAGAUGGGCACAGUUUACUCCGGGUUCGGUGAUGGUGUUGAAAAGCACCUUAACUGAGGCAAGGAUUUUUUUUUGAAACGAGGCAAAAGACUUGCCAUUUUCAUUGAUUAAGAAGAAGAGAAUUUCCCGGUUAAUUAAUGGAAAACCGGGCUAAAACCGAUAAAACACAACCCACAUGACAUGGGUACCACCGGCCAAUCUGGCCACCAACAUGGAACAGAAUCCACGACGGCACAUGUCAAUAGAUGGCCACACUCGCAAGCAACCGACAGCUCCGACUUUGACGACAAGAAACAGAAGGGAAAUAUGCAGGACUUGCGCCGACCGUGCCCUCCGUAAACGACCGCCGAGUGUCUGUCAUCGUCACCACCUGGACUCGCUCCAUCGCAGCUCCGACUUCAAAGCAACCAAGCAACCACGGAAGAGCACCUCGGACACGCCGGGAAGAACCGACUACCGAAGACCACGCCGCGACCCAAGCUCCUCUCGACGCCAUCAUCGUUGCCAAACAGAAACCAGCGCCCCGCCUCAGCAAACCACGCCGCGAAGAUGCCACCAUCGACGGUGAAGAUGCCAUCAUCCACCAGUCUCUCAGUCGUAGCCGGCUCCGAGACAAUGCCCCCAAGGAGGAGAAAGACGCUAUGGCGCCUCCAUCGCCCGAUCCAGCGGAUCUGAGGUUUCCCUCCGGAGCCAAAGCCAUGGGUUGAAGGAGGAGCACCUCCACGACGACGCUUCCAAGAAAGAUCGCGGCAGCCGCAGGCGCCGCCGUUGUCGGCUCCGGUGAAGACCGGAGCAAGGAUUUCUCCCGGAGAUGUGCCGACCACCUGCCACCACGGACCGCCGCCCACUAACCACCACCUCUGCCGAGACCGACCUCACUCUGGCCACGGGAUCCCACGAUCCACCGCGGCCAGACACGCACCACCCCCUGGCCGAAGCCGCCACCACCGAACCCGGGGCCGCCGCCCCGGCAACACCGUCAGCCACCAUCUUGGACUAGCGCCAUCCAGGAGACCCCACAGCCAGAAACUCAGUCAGGAGACAAGCUGCAGCGACGACGCCCUCAGCAGGGUCACGACGCCCGUGGACGCCGCCAUCGUCACCCCAAACGCAGUCAGGCAUGGUUUUCACCAGCAGCCGCACCCCACGACCGAAGACCGGCUGGCAUACCACGGCCACUGCUUCGCCCGCGUGAACACCGCAGCCGUCGUCGCCCACCACCGUCCUGGGGCCGCCGCCCCGAGAUCCAUCCUCCACCGCCCGUCGUGGCGCCCGACAGAGCACCAAGUCCAGCCGAGCCGAGCACACCCAGCCACGGCCAGCUAUCACCCUCCCGCAGCAUCACCGCCUGGAGCAGCGGAGCAGCGCCGCCCCCGCUCUCGAUAACGGCGACCGAGGGGGUCCCACCGCCGCCGCGCUGCCAGGGCUUUGCCUGGCGACGCCUCCGGCGGUGGCGAGAGGAGAGGGAGGCGCAGGGGGGCCUGCUCGAGCCCGCAGGGGCGCCCCGGUGCGGCCCAGCGCGGCCGCACGGGAGCGGGACAGGAAGAGGGGGAGGGCCUGACUCGAACUCCUCUGCGGGGAGAGGGUCGGCGACGGCGCCGGGCUUGGGGAUGGAUGGAGAGAGGACGCCGGGAGGGUUCCGGAUCUGUUCUUGGCUGGGCCUGAGGUGGCCGGAGGAGGGAGAUCAGCCGCCGCCGGCGGCGCCUGCGCGAGCGCGAGAGAAGCCGAGCCAAGGAAUUUAGUAGCAUUGUGGGAUGAUUAACCAAUUUUUUUCUUUCUGUUUCUUAUACUAUCUUCUCAUAUUAUAAUUCUGGUGUCCUGGUAGGCAGGGAUCAGCUUUGGUGGCAUCCGAUGCUGGCAGGCCACGGGGUUAGAGCAGAGGAAGCUGACAUGGUGUUCGAAAUUCAGAUGGUCAUUGUGAUAGAAGAAAGUGCAUAAAGAAUGAGCAAGGAAAAGCUACAGAUUGAUAUGUCCAGGUACAAGACUCGGGCAACGGGCAGGUACAAGACUCGGGCAACAGUUAAUGGACACAAUGAAUCUGUGCUAAUAUAGCUUACUUUAUAAAGCCAUCAAUGUAUGCUAUUAUCAAGUGUUUUGAAUAUUUUAUUUUAAGCUAUAUAAGUAUUCAUUAACUUUGUUCUAAAUUAGUCUAAUAUGCAUGGUUUGAAUGCUGGGCUCGCUCUUCCUUUUUUGCGUGAUAUGAGUAUUUUCUUUUAAGAUAUCAUGUAAUGGAAUGUAAGUAUUUAUUAAGCUGCUUUAAAUCAAUCUCAUAUGCAUGAUUUUGAUACUCGGCUUACUCUCGCUUUUUGCGCCAUGGGUGCAACGGGUCAUCUAACAAAGGACAAGCAUAUGCUUUCGCCUUCAAAUGCACUUCCAAAGGACUGAUCGUUUACUCGAUAUAAGCAAGUUGCAAGAGCCCUUUGUUAUGUAACUUGCAUUAGUAUAGAGCCCUUUGUUAUAUAACUUAGCAUUAGUAUAGAUGUCUACUAAGACUUCUAUGUUUAUCAUCCUUUCGGAUCUUAUGUAAUUCUCUAAGACCAUUCUGUGCAUUUAACUGUCGGUUAUUUGAUGCUUAGACUGCUUUGUGGUAUGCUUUUGAAAUAGCCAUGAUGAAAGAAAUAUAUGCUUUCA